rnacentral:lncRNA from 1 species
UGGUGUUGGGGGGGUCGCUCAGUGUUCUGACCCGUGGUGUUGGGGGGGUCGCUCAGUGUUCUGACCCGUAGAUCUGGUGUUGGGGGGUCGCUCAGUGUUCUGACCCGUAGAUCUGGUGUUGGGGGGUCGCUCAGUGUUCUGACCCGUAGAUCUGGUGUUGGGGGGGUCGCUCAGUGUUCUGACCCGUAGAUCUGGUGUUGGGGGGUCGCUCAGUGUUCUGACCCGUAGAUCUGGUGUUGGGGGGUCGCUCAGUGUUCUGACCCGUAGAUCUGGUGUUGGUGGGUUGCUCAGUGUUCUGACCCGUUGAGUUCUGGUUAGACCUAUUUCUCUCGCCUGCUUAAUGAACAGCAGUGGUUCUCAGGAAAUGGAGGCAGUUCCCCCCCCACACAGAUCCUCUCCUUUGUAGGAAGCGUCCAUCUUUCCAGCACUGAAAUGGCUUCUAGCAGUGUGAGUUAGUUUGUUCUCUGCCAAAAUACCUGCUUUAAUGGUGGAACAGCUCUGCGGGUUCACUGCACACUGCUUGUCCAAAUAAAAUGCUGUCUUUUUUAAGGAAAGGUAGAAUGAUCAACGUGCUUCCUCCUCCUCCUCGCCACUGUCCUCCCCUGUGUGUGUGUGUGUGUGUGUGUGUGUGUGUGUGUGUGUGUGUGUGUGUGUGUGUGUGUGUGUGUGUGUGUGUGUGUGUGUGUGUGUGUGUGUGACUGAACCAUAAAGCUGAUUUUUGUAUCUAUGCAUAAUGUAGCCAGUCACAAGGACUACAGAAAUGGGGGGAGGCUUGUUCUGUCCAGCGUCACAGCGUCAAAAUGUUUUAAAAUAUUUCCAGAAAUGAAUGUGACGAUGAUCAAUAUAUAUAUAUAUGACCUUGUUUCAAUCUCUCUCAUUGCCACAGAUGGUGGUCAAAGAAAAAAAAACUCUGUCAACAACAAACUAUAAUAAUAAUCGUGUUUUUUAUUAUUUUGGGUUGAUUUAAUAUUUUGAACAGUGUAAAAGUCGUCCACAUUUCAUUGCCUUGUUACUUGUGUCCUGAAGAGAAGAUGCAGCAAGUCCAGUGUUUUGUUUUUUAAACCUGUCUGUUUACAACAGAGCAUGAUUGUAAUGUCUUGACAGGUAAGACUGGUAGUCUUGACAGGAAAGACUGGUAGUCUUGACAGGAAAGACUGGUAGUCUUGACAGGUAAGACUGGUAGUCUUGACAGGUAAGACUGGUAGUCUCAUCUGUGUGGCUCUAAAGACUCCCGUUGUUAUUCCCUUUAGUGCACUACUGCUGGUGUGGGGAGCAGGCAGCCAUUUUAGAAUCGGUCCUGUUGAAUCGGGAAGGGGGUGUUUUGGCUUCUUCAUACCUCCCUAGAUGGCUCUCUGUCUGUCAUCGCUGGGGGGGUGAAUGUAACCUAUCGUUGGUCGUAAACACAAUGCCUUUAAAUAAUAAACAUAGAUUUAGCCACUAUUUACAAUGUUGAUUGUUGAGUUAUGAUGAUGCACAAUGUGUGAAAGCUUCAAAACAGCAUUAGGCAAAGCCAUGGACCUUCAUUUAUUUACUUCGAUUUUUAUUUAGUGUCUUUAAAAAAAAAAAACGAACAAAAUAAUAAUAAAAACUGUUGUUUCUCUCCCAGUAGUUUUAUUUGACUGGUAGAAGUUGCUAGUUGUGUUGUUUUGACGUCGCGUUCCUUGACUGUACUGAAUAACUUAAAAGCAUUAGCGUACAAUACAAACCCCCUUGAGUAUUAUUCUGCCAGUGCUGUGCCAGUAUUCAACCGUGUUAAACAACCGCUCUACCAAAUAUCAUUCAAUCAACAACAACAAUAAUAAUAUUUGUUUACUUAAUUCCAGAUAUAUAUAUAUUUUUUUGGCUUAUCUCACUUUUUUGUUUUAACAAACUGUUGCAUGAAACAUUGGAAACCAGGUUUAUUUUUGUGUGUGUGAAUAAUAACUUUAUUGAGACACUGAACUGUGGUGUUAAUAAUAACUUUAUUGAGACGCUGAACUGAGGUGUUAAUAAUAACUUUAUUGAGACGCUGAACUGAGGAGCUUUUUGGAUUUGCACUUGGAUUAUUUAAAGAUGGAAGGAGAGGAGAGAAGACAGCCUCCUAGUCUGCGUCCUGUCUCUCUCUCUGCAGACUAGGAGGCCUGUCUGUCUCUCUGCAGACUAGGAGGCCUGUCUGUCUCUCUCUGCAGACUAGGAGGCCUGUCUGUCUCUCUCUCUGCAGACUAGGAGGCCUGUCUCCUCUCCUCUCCUUUAUAGAGACGUUCUAUCACUGAGAAUUCUAGAAGCCUCUCCUUUAUAGAGACGUUCUAUCACUGAGAAUUCUAGAAGCCUCUCCUCUCCUUUAUAGAGACGUUCUAUCACUGAGAAUUCUAUCAGCUAGAAGCCUCUCCUUUAUAGAGACGUUCUAUCACUGAGAAUUCUAGAAGCCUCUCCUUUAUAGAGACGUUCUAUCACUGAGAAUUCUAGAAGCUAGAAGCCUCUUCUUUAUAGAGACGUUCUAUCACUGAGAAUUCUAGAAGCUAGAAGCCUCUUCUUUAUAGAGACGUUCUAUCACUGAGAAUUCUAGAAGCCUCUCCUCUCCUUUAUAGAGACGUUCUAUCACUGAGAAUUCUAGAAGCUAGAAGCCUCUUCUUUAUAGAGACGUUCUAUCACUGAGAAUUCUAGAAGCUAGAAGCCUCUUCUUUAUAGAGACGUUCUAUCACUGAGAAUUCUAGAAGCCUCUCCUCUCCUUUAUAGAGACGUUCUAUCACUGAGAAUUCUAGAAGCCUCUCCUCUCCUUUAUAGAGACGUUCUAUCACUGAGAAUUCUAUCAGCUGGAAGUCUCAGACCUCGAGCUGCAGAGUAGAAUAUUCUCCUGACCUGUGAACCUAAUAUGCACAUUGCUUCGGGAGGCUGAUAAGAAACGAUGUACAGAGAAAACAACCCAACGUCUAUAAUAUUUACUAAUAAUAAAGACUUACUUUAAAGUUACAGGGAGGGUGUUUUGGCGUUGUGUCUUCCUGACAGGAG